rnacentral:rRNA from 1 species
UUUUAGAAAUUAAUUUAAAGUCUAACCUGCCCACUGAAUUAUUUUAAAUGGCCGCAGUAUUUUAACUGUGCAAAGGUAGCAUAAUCAUUAGUCUUUUAAUUGAAGGCUAGAAUGAAUGGUUGAAUGAAAUAUUAACUGUUUCAUAUAAAUUAUUAAUAUAAUUUUAUUUUUUAGUUAAAAAGCUAAAAUAAUUUUAAAAGACGAGAAGACCCUAUAAAUCUUUAUAUUUAAAUAAUUUUUAUUAUUUAGAUAAAUUMAAUUAUAAUUAUUUUAAAUAUUUUAUUGGGGUGAUAAUAAAAUUUAAUAAACUUUUAAUUUAUUUUAAACAUUAAUUAAUGAAUUAUUGAUCCAUAAAUUAUGAUUAAAAAAUUAAGUUACUUUAGGGAUAACAGCGUAAUUUUUUUAGAGAGUUCAUAUUGAUAAAAA